GACGAACGCUGGCGGCGUGCUUAACACAUGCAAGUCGAACGGAAAGGCCCUGCUUUUGUGGGGUGCUCGAGUGGCGAACGGGUGAGUAACACGUGAGUAACCUGCCCUUGACUUUGGGAUAACUUCAGGAAACUGGGGCUAAUACCGGAUAGGAGCUCCUGCUGCAUGGUGGGGGUUGGAAAGUUUCGGCGGUUGGGGAUGGACUCGCGGCUUAUCAGCUUGUUGGUGGGGUAGUGGCUUACCAAGGCUUUGACGGGUAGCCGGCCUGAGAGGGGGACCGGCCACAUUGGGACUGAGAUACGGCCCAGCCUCCUACGGGAGGCAGCAGUGGGGAAUAUUGCACAAUGGGCGGAAGCCUGAUGCAGCAACGCCGCGUGCGGGAUGACGGCCUUCGGGUUGUAAACCGCUUUCGCCUGUGACGAAGCGUGAGUGACGGUAAUGGGUAAAGAAGCACCGGCUAACUACGUG
rnacentral:rRNA from 1 species